AUGUUUCUUCAAAAGCCUCACAAGCUCCGUGGGCCCCAGGGUCCUCUUCUUGCCCCACUCUCCGAGCCUGAUGCCUGUGGCCCCCGACUCCUCCUGCCUCCCUUGCCAGCCAUGUGCAAAGCCACCCCAAAGGCUACUGAUUUCCCUGCCUCGCUCAUGGGACAUGCAUUUCUCCCUUGUCUCAGCCACUGGCAUCCCAGGCCAGGCCCAAGAUACCUCCCUGCCCAGAAAGGCCAGUUGUCCUCACCCAACCCAGGACAUCCACCCAGGAGGAGUCAUGCUGCUGGUUCUUACCAGAACUCUCCAGGAUUCAAAUCUUUUGUAAAAUCCAAACAAGGAAGACAACAGGAACCUCAGGGAGGUGAGAAACGAGGUGACCACAGGCUUCAUAAAGCCUCAAAAACUUCAGGCCGAGAGGAAGAGACCCCAGUCAAGAUGGGUGCGGCUCAUGUCAUCAGCACACAAGUGAGCUGGGGUCUCCUGGUUCCACUACGGGCCAGGCAGGCGUGGGUUCUGUAAAGGACACACACGGGCGUUGCCCACAGUGGGAACCUGGAUGCCCGGAAGGCUCCCUCUGCCACUGUGAUGUUUCAGGAUGAAGGAAACGAUUGUCCCUCGCAUUCAGGUGUGCAGAGUGCAUGCUGUUUAAGUCCAGGCUCUCUUGUCUACUAUAUACCUCUCUCUCUUUUUAAAAAUUGUGGCUAAAUACAUAUAACAAAAUCAACCAUCCUAACCAUUUUUCAGUGUACAGUUCAGUGGCAUUUGUGUUCAUUCACACUGUCAUGCAACCAUCACCACCAUCCAUCAUCGCCAGAGUGCUUUCCAUCUUGCAGAUCUGAAACUCUGCACCUGUUAAAUAACAACUCCCCAUUCUUCCCUCCCCACAGUCCCGGGCAACCACCAUUCUACUUUCUGUCUUCUCUGGGUACCUGAUAUGAAUGGAAUCAUGCCGUGUUUGUCCUUUUGUGACUGCCUUUUCUCACUUAGCAUAAUGUCCUCAAAGUUCAUCUGUACUGUAGUGUGUGUCAGAAUGUCCUUCUUUUUCAAGGCUGAAUACUAUUCCAUUGCAUAUGUGUGUCCCAGCUGGUUUAUCCACUCAUCUGCUUAUACACACUGGGCUUGCUUCCACCUUUUGGCUAUUGUGAAUAAUGCUGCUAUGAACACAGGUGUCCAAAUAGCUCUUCGAUGCACACUCCCGAAAAGGAAAAAAACAGCUGGGUGCGGUGGCUCACGCCUGUUAUCCCAGCACUUUGGGAGGCCAAGGAGGGGAUCACUCGAGCCCAAGGGUUCAAAAGUAGCCUGGGCAACAUGGCAAAACCCUGUCUCUAAAAAAAAAAUACAAACAUUAGCCAGACAUGGUGGCACAUGCCUAUAGUCCCAGCUACUUGGGAGGCUGAGAUGGGAAGACCACUUGAGCCUGGGAGGUGGACAGCCUUGACUGUGCCACUGCACUUCAGCGUGAGUGACAGAGUGAGACCCCGUCUCACAAAAAAAAAAAAAAAAAAAAAAAAAAAAGGGA
rnacentral:lncRNA from 1 species